UACAGAGGUGCCAAGCGUUAGGCGGAAUCACUGGGCUUAAAGCGCGCGUAGGCGGAUGUUUAAGUGUCUUGUGAAAUCCCACGGCUCAACCGUGGAACUGCUGGGCAUACUGGACAUCUCGAGGCACUCAGGGGCGAGCGGAACAAGUGGUGGAGCGGUGAAAUGCGUAGAUAUCACUUGGAACGCCAAUGGUGAAGACAGCUCGCUGGGGGUGUCCUGACGCUGAGGCGCGAAAGCUAGGGGAGCAAACAGG
rnacentral:rRNA from 1 species